rnacentral:rRNA from 1 species
CAGCAGCCGCGGUAAUACCGGCGGCCCGAGUGGCGGUCACUAUUAUUGGGCUUAAAGCGUCCGUAGCCGGGUUGGGAAGUCCUCCGGGAAAUCUGGCCGCUUUACCGUCCGAAUGCCGGAGGAUACUCCCAGCCUAGGGAGCGGGAGAGGCCGAGGGUAUUCCCGGGGUAGGGGUGGAAUCCUAUAAUCCCGGGAGGACCACCUGUGGGGAAGGCGCUCGGCUGGAACGCGUCCGACGGUGAGGGACGAAGGCCAGGGGAGCAAACCGGAUUAGAUACCCGGGUAGUCCUGGCGGUAAACGAUGCGGACUUUGUGUCGGACAAGCUAUGAGCUUGUCCGGUGCCGGAGGGAAACCGUUAAGUCCGCCGCCUGGGGAGUACGGCCGCAAGGCUGAAACUUAAAGGAAUUGGCGGG